rfam:Ixodes scapularis strain Wikel colony gcontig_1107728735756, whole genome shotgun sequence.
UAAUCUUCUCGGCCUACUGGCUUAGAUCGUAUGGAGACAUCUGUUCUUAUCAGGUCUAAUUAGGUCCGUAUCAGCUUAAUAUCUGAUACGGACCUAAUUGGUCAAGAUAUUAUACUUAUUUUUGAAAAUGGUGUUCCGUCAGAGCUUGCUUUGGGGACGCUAGGGCUAGCCCGGCAUUGCACUGCCUCCGGGACUGGCUCAUCCCCC